AUUGAACGCUGGCGGCAGGCCUAACACAUGCAAGUCGAGCGGAUGAAGGGAGCUUGUUCCUGGAUGCAGUGGCGGACGGGUGAGUAAUUCCUACGAAUCUGCCCUGCAGUGGGGGAUAACGUCCGUAAACGGGCGCUAAUAUCGUAUACGUCCUGAUGUUGAAAGUGGGGGUUCUUCGGACCUCGCGCUUUUUGCUGAGCCUAGGUCGGAUUAGCUAGUUGGUGUGGUAAAGGCCUACCAAGGCGACGAUCCGUAACUGGCCUGAGAGGAUGAUCGGUCACACUGGAACUGAGACACGGUCCAGACUCCUACGGGAGGCAGCAGUAGGGAAUAUUGGGCAAUGGGCGAAAGCCUGAUGCAGCCAUGCCGCGUGUGUGAAGAAGGUCUUCGGAUUGUAAAGCACUUUUAGUUGGGAGGAAGGGCUGUGAGUUAAUACCUUGCUGUUUUGACGUUACCAACAGAAUAAGCACCGGCUAACUACGUG
rnacentral:rRNA from 1 species